GUUCAUCGGACCACUGUGAGAAAAACAUUAGAAAACACAUACUUUUGGAGGCAAAGUAAAAAAAUGUUAAGUUUCUUCUGUAUUUCCCUAACAUCCAGAGAGUAGGGAAAUACUACGCAUCAUAUCAAAGAAGAUUGGGAUUGUGGCUUUUCGUAGCUCAACUUCUGGAAUCAGAGUCAUUUCCAAGAUCGGUCCAACCAUCCCCGGAAUAAAGCAGAUUUUAUUCUGGCCUAAAACAGAAUGGUGAAAGAACUAUUGGAAAAGAGAAGAAAACUACCAUUUUGGAGUUACAUAUCACAGAAAAGGAGAACUGAACGCUAAGGCCAAAAAAAAAGGUAAAAGAAGAAAAUUAUAGAUACUGAAUACAGUGAAGCUUACAGUCGCUGUACUAGGAAUUUCGUGAAUACAUUCAAAAUGCAGGAGAGUCAAGCAAGAAGUUAAAAUAUUAAACACAGUUAUGAAAUAUACUGUAAUAUGUUUAUCAAUCUCUGUAUCUAACCUACAAGUUACUUUCAUAUCAUACCAUACCAUUCCCUAAGAUUCUGCGUUUAGUCUCUCUUUGUAAGUGCCAAUUCCAUGUAACCUCUCCUCAACGGUUAUACCUCCCCCAUGUUCAAACCAAAUCACUUGAUUUGUUCUUUGUUGACCCCCGAUUUCAUUAGUGUACCUCAAAUAAUACACAGCGCCAAAAUGAAUAUAUUUUCCUAA